rnacentral:lncRNA from 1 species
AGGACAUGGUUGGCUGAGGAAGGCAGCAGAAUCACAGCAUGCGGUGGGGGCUUGCAGUUCAUGUCCUGAAGGAAAAUUUUGAGAGGAGCAGGGAGCUAACAACCAUGGCUCUGAAGUAAAAGUAAGAGACCAUCCUAGGGCCCAGAAGAUAAAGUUUGCUGCAACACAUAAAGUCACUGAAUGAACUGAAACUAAGCCUGAAAGCCAGGCACAAGGAACAGGGGGAAAGCAGAAGCCUGCAAAUGCUUUUUUCUUUUUUUUUUUUUCCACUUCAGUUGCAAUUUUUGGUUAGUGGAACUGAUUCUACAUUUGAACCAUGGUCUCGACCCUCAAACCACCUUUUGGUCUCUUCAUGUAACUCAGCCUACUAAGCAGAAUAUUUGGCCUGGAAGUGCCUUAUUUUCACAAACAUCUUGGAAGUCUUGUAUAUAUAUUGUAGACGCCUGUGACUUUCACCUGUUUUCUGCUUACAAAGAUUCCUGCUUCACACUGGAAGGAAACAGGAGGAGGAAGAAGAAAUCAACCCGCAAUCCUACAAUUUUUCAGGAAGAACAUAGGAGGAGGAAGAAUGAAUAAUUUCACAAGCCUAUGUGUCUGUUUUUUCAUCGCAAAUGUUUCCUACUACAUGAAGAAUCAGUCUCCCAUCCUGAAAGGCUUCUUAUC